rnacentral:tRNA from 1 species
GGGGAUGUGGCUCAAGCGGUAGAGUGCUCGCCUGGCAUGCGUGCGGCCUGUGUUCGAUUCUCAGCACCA